UACAAUGUUUUGGCUCUUCGUCUUAUUCGAAAUUUUUUAUGAUUGAUAUUUUUAUUCUUAGAUGAUAAACAUGAAUAGUACUUUAUGCGUGACUAAUUUUUUUAAUUUUUUCUACAAAUUUUUCAAAUAAGGCGAAUGGUCAAAUGUUGAAUAUGGAAAAACA
rnacentral:pre_miRNA from 1 species